rnacentral:rRNA from 1 species
GACGAACGCUGGCGGCGUGCCUAAUACAUGCAAGUUGAGCGCUGAAGGUUGGUACUUGUACCGACUGGAUGAGCAGCGAACGGGUGAGUAACGCGUGGGGAAUCUGCCUUUGAGCGGGGGACAACAUUUGGAAACGAAUGCUAAUACCGCAUAAAAACUUUAAACACAAGUUUUAAGUUUGAAAGAUGCAAUUGCAUCACUCAAAGAUGAUCCCGCGUUGUAUUGGCUAGUUGGUGAGGUAAAGGCUCACCAAGGCGAUGAUACAUAGCCGACCUGAGAGGGUGAUCGGCCACAUUGGGACUGAGACACGGCCCAAACUCCUACGGGAGGCAGCAGUAGGGAAUCUUCGGCAAUGGACGAAAGUCUGACCGAGCAACGCCGCGUGAGUGAAGAAGGUUUUCGGAUCGUAAAACUCUGUUGAUAGAGAAGAACGUUGGUGAGAGUGGAAAGCUCAUCAAGUGACGGUAACUACCCAGAAAGGGACGGCUAACUACGUG